UGCGAUACCUAGUGUGAAUUGCAGAAUUCCGUGAAUCAUCGAGUUUUUGAACGCAAGUUGCGCCCGAGGCUCGUCUGAGGGCAUGCCUGCCUGAGCGUCCGC
rnacentral:rRNA from 2 species